UACGUAGGGACCAAGCGUUGUUCGGAUUUACUGGGCGUAAAGGGCGCGUAGGCGGCGCGGUAAGUCACUUGUGAAAUCUCUGAGCUUAACUCAGAACGGCCAAGUGAUACUGCAGUGCUAGAGUGUGGAAGGGGCAAUCGGAAUUCUUGGUGUAGCGGUGAAAUGCGUAGAUAUCGGGAGGAACAUCAGUGGCGAAGGCGGCCAUCUGGACCAACACUGACACUGAGGCACAAAAGCGUGGGUAGCAAACAGG
rnacentral:rRNA from 1 species